AAUCCCCCGGGGCUUCCUGGGUGAUGGGAGCAUGUCUGUUCUAGUGAGGCAGCUCCCGGAUGGCUCAGAAAUACUGAGCCAGGAUGAGAGGCUUGGAACUUCCAGCCCCACCCCCAUCCUCGGGGAGGGGAGAGGGCUGGAGAUUGAGUUAAGGAUGGAUCGUGCCUACGUGAUGAAGCCUCCAUACAAAUUCACGAACUAUUGGGUUCGGAGAGCUUCCAGGUGGAUGGACACAUCCCCAACUCCCCGGGACGGAAGCUUCUGCCCCCAGGACCCUCCCAGACUUCGCCCUCUGUUCCCCAUCAUCUGGCUGUUUGUCUGUAUCCUUUAAUCUUAUCCUUCAGUAGGUACUAAACCAGUAAACGUAAGCAGUGUUUGCCUGAGUUCUGUGAGCAAAUCACUGAACCCAAGAAAGGGCUUGUGGGGACCCAAGUCAGAAGUGCGAGAGACCCGGGCUGGUGUGUGGAGCUGGGCAUCGUGGCACCAAGCCCUCAACUGCGGGAUGUGAUGCUAACUCCGUAUGGAUGGUAGCACACCCAGCUGGUGUUGGAGGAUUGGUUGGUGUGCGGAAAAACCCACACUCUUGGUGUCAGAAGUGUUUUUCAUCCUCCUGACGGCCAGUCUCUGCACAGCAGCCAGAGGAUGCACAAAGCAGAUCGGAUGCAGUCACGCCGAAUCUCAGAGACCUAGGAUGGUUCCCUCCCGACCCCCAGCAGAAUCAAGCCCCGACCUCUGCUUUCCAGAAGUGUAAGCUCAGGCAUGUGGGAUCUUAGCUCCCUGACCAGGGAUCGAACCAGUACCCCUGCAUUGGAAGGCAAAGUUUUAACCACUGGGACUGCCAGGGAAUCCCUGAAGCACCGCAGGAAAGCAGGGCAGAUUCCUACUUCAUCUCUGCUGAAACUGGCCCCUAGUUUGUUCCCUUAUCCCUCCAUGAAGCCCCAGUUCAAGAAGGUGGUCCAGCCCUCCUCCCUAAAUGCUCACUGUUAGAUCCUGCCCCCUAAAUGAGGUUCAUCACUGCCCUUCUCCUACUGGUCCACAAAGUGGAAGUACAAGGCUUGGUGAGUGGAGCUUUUGGA